AAAAUUUUAGUUUAAAAGAAAAUAUUUUAUUUACAAUAAAAUGAUUAUUAGGUUAAAAUAAGGUUUUA
rnacentral:tRNA from 1 species